UACGUAGGUGGCAAGCGUUGUCCGGAUUUACUGGGCGUAAAGAGCGCGCAGGCGGUCGUUUAAGUCGAAUGUGAAAGCCCCCGGCUCAACUGGGGAGGGUCAUUCGAUACUGAUCGACUUGAAGGCAAGAGAGGGAAGUGGAAUUCCGGGUGUAGUGGUGAAAUGCGUAGAUAUCCGGAGGAACACCAGUGGCGAAGGCGACUUCCUGGCCUGUUCUUGACGCUGAGGCGCGAAAGCUGGGGGAGCAAACGGG
rnacentral:rRNA from 1 species